GCCGGGUGCGGUGGCACUUGCCUGUAGUCCCAGCUACUCGGGAGGCUGAGGUGGGAGGAUCGCUUGAGCCCAGGAGUUCUGGGCUGUAGUGCGCUAUGCCGAUCGAGUGUCCGCACUAAGUUCGGCAUCAAUAUGGUGACCUCCCAGGAGCGAGGGACCACCAGGUUGCUUAAGAAGGGGUGAACUGGCCCAGGUCGGAAAUGGAGCAGGUUAAAACUCCCAUGCUGAUCAGUAGUGGGAUCUCUCCUUUGAAUAGCCACUGCACUCCAGCCUGGGCAACACAGCGGGACCCCCGUCUCU
rnacentral:SRP_RNA from 1 species